rnacentral:tRNA from 1 species
GCCUCUUUAGCUCAGUUGGUAGAGCAACUGAUUUGUAAUCAGUAGGUCGUCUGUUCGAGCCAGACAAGGGGCACCA